GACAGAGGUCCCAAGCGUUUAGGCGGAAUCACUGGGCUUAAAGCGUGUGUGAGGCGGACUUCUAAGUACCUUGUGAAAUCCCACGGCUCAACCGUGGAACUGCUUGGUAUACUGGUUGUCUUGGGCCAUCUAGGGGCUAGCGGAACAAACGGUGGAGCGGUGAAAUGCGUAGAUAUCGUUUGGAACGCCAAUGGUGAAAACAGCUAGCUGGGGAUGUGCCGACGCUGAGACACGAAAGCCAGGGGAGCGAACGGG
rnacentral:rRNA from 1 species